rnacentral:rRNA from 1 species
GGGGAAUAUUGCACAAUGGGGGAAACCCUGAUGCAGCCAUGCCGCGUGUAUGAAGAAGGCCUUCGGGUUGUAAAGUACUUUCAGUUGUGAGGAAGGCGUUGAAGUUAAUAGCUUCAGCGUUUGACGUUAGCAACAGAAGAAGCACCGGCUAACUCCGUGCCAGCAGCCGCGGUAAUACGGAGGGUGCGAGCGUUAAUCGGAAUUACUGGGCGUAAAGCGCAUGCAGGUGGUUUGUUAAGCAAGAUGUGAAAGCCCGGGGCUCAACCUCGGAACAGCAUUUUGAACUGGCAGACUAGAGUACUGUAGAGGGGGGUAGAAUUUCAGGUGUAGCGGUGAAAUGCGUAGAGAUCUGAAGGAAUACCGGUGGCGAAGGCGGCCCCCUGGACAGAUACUGACACUCAGAUGCGAAAGCGUGGGGAGCAAACAGG